CUUUUCGUCCCCUCUGCCACAGGGGCCACGGCCAUGGCACAACCCCAAAAUGCAACCCAACAAGUAGGCCAAUGCAAGGAAUCCACAGCACAAGAUGACAGCGCCGAGUUCUUCCUGGACUCUCCACCUCCUGCCUCUCUUCCUGCUCCUACCAGUCGGCAAUGCCAUCACAUUUAGCAUCAGCAACAGAUGCUCCGGCACCAUAUGGCCAGCCGCUGUGCCGGGCGGUGGCGUGAAACUCAACCCUGGAGAGUCCUGGACCCUCAACGUGCCGGCCGGUACCGGCCCCGGGCGUGUGUGGCCGCGCACGGGCUGCUCAUUUGACAGCACCGGUAAGGGGUCAUGCCAGACAGGAGACUGCGGCGGCGUGCUGGCCUGCACAAGCAGCGGUCAGCCACCCGUCACACUUGCUGAGUUCACCAUCGGAGGAGGAACGGAUUUCUUUGACAUCUCCCUCGUCGAUGGCUUCAACGUGCCCAUGGACUUCAUGCCGAUGCCGGCAAACGGACAGGGAGGGCAAGUAUGCAGCAGGGGGCCUCGCUGUGCAGCCAACAUCACAUCGCAGUGCCCAGAGAAGCUGACGGUGCCUGGGGGCUGCAACAGCGCGUGUAGAGUGUUCAAGCAAGACAAGUACUGCUGCACCGGGAAUGUCAGCAGCACCUGCGAGCCCACCACCUACUCAGUGUUCUUCGUGCGGGGGUGCCCCGACGCCUACGGUUACUCCAGGGAUGAUAGCUCGAGCACUAUCUUCAGUUGCCCGUCGGGCACCAACUAUCAGUGCUUCAAGCAUGAAUGGAGUAAGGGAGCUUCGAAAGUCAUCUAGGAUGCGUCCACUUGUACUGAAUGCCGACUCUGAAGCUACUGUUGAGAUAGGUAUAGCAAGCACAUCACGGGCCAAACGAGAUAGAAUUGGAAACCUCUGCUCAGAUGCCUUCCACCAUACUAAAAGCCACGUUCUCACUCUUGUCCAACUCAACCUGAGGUUCAAUCUCCAUCUCGGUGUGUGAUUCAGGUUCAAUUUGUGAUGCUUGGGUACCCAAUGGCACUGACUCAACCUCCAUCUCGACAUGUGAUUCAGGUUCUGCC